rnacentral:lncRNA from 1 species
UCAACAUUCAUGUUCAAAAAAGCCUCCAGUGAGAACCAAUCCAAACUUUAUUGAUGAAACAUCUGCAGUGAAGACAUGAAAACAGGAAAUUCAUCUUAGUUUCAAAAGGAUUUGUGAAUGAAUGUGUGUGAAAUAUUUGAUCUCACAACCUCAGAAUAUCAAUUGUUUUUCCUCCGUUUUGCUCCAAUUGAAUGAAAGAUUUGAGUUUCCAAAGACCUUGAUGAACACAGUUGAUGUAGUCAGAGUCUUGAUGCUUCUCCAUGUUUCUGGUUUCUCCUCAGGACUCUGUGCUGAACUCCAUUCAGGUUCAGAGGAAUUCAGGCUGGUGGGAGGAGCCAGCAACUGUACUGGGAGACUGGAGAGGAAGGCUCCAAGCCAGGAGUAGACACUUGAUCACAUGAACAAUGCGAGCUCCGCCCACCAAGGAGAUUACAUGUGUGUUCACCACGUCCACAUCAACUCCCAAAACCUGAGGCUCCAAAGCCAGCAGCUGAGUCUGACUGUUUUAGGUAUUUGAAUUGACAGAAACACUUCAUUCACCAUCGUUCUAGUUUCUCUGAUGAAAAUGCUUCAUUUUGAGGUUCAACAUCACAACAACAGUUUAGUUUUGACAUGAAACCACUUUGAAUAAUGAAUGUAGUUUGUGUUGUUUUCAGUUUCCGUUUCUCUGACUGAAUUCAUCAUCAGACAUGUUGUGGUCCUGCUGAUCAUGGUGGUUUCAACAUCUGCCCUCUACGU